rnacentral:rRNA from 1 species
GUCGCAGACGCAUAGCGGCCAUCUAAGAAAAUCUGCCACUGCUUGGUCUCUACCUCAGCCUCAUCUGAACAACAUGUUUGGGCAGACCUACCGGACAGCCUGCUUCACUUAAUCAUUGCUCUCUUAAGCUCAUUCCAUGACUUCCUUGCUUUUAGUGGCGCCUGUCACUCUUGGCGCGCUGCGGUCUUUUCCUUUCCAUCAUCCAUAUAUGCCUUUGUCUUUCCACCUCUCCAUCUCAAAGCAGGUUUGCGUAAGGCUAACCGGGAUUGCGGCACAUGGUACAAGCUUUUAUUGAACUACAAAUGGUGUCUUUGUGAUCCUAUGAGGACAGACUUAUCUCUGCUCCGGUCAGCUCCCCGUAAUGCUCCAAAUUACAUGCGCCAUUUGGGCUGCUCAUAUGGGCAUCUUAUCUUCUCAUGUAUGGAGCACCUCCUCCUUGUCGAUGUUUACACAGGCACUAAGGUGAAGCCACCCAAACUCCAAGCCAACAGCGAUUGUGUGGUCUAUGGUGGCAUUCUUAUAGCUCCACUCAGUUCACCGAACUCAUGUCUCCUCCUUUUCUCGAAAUCAUUCAUUUUCCAGUGGCAGGUUGGAACGGAUUCCUGAACAGAGCACCCUCUUGUUUCUGAACACUUCCUUAGUCAGAUUGUUUUGUUCAAAGGUCAGAUGUUUGCCAUAGACUUUCCCCGGAUGCUCAAAACCAUAUCCUUGGCACCUCAGCUCAGCGUGCAGGAAGUCGAUGUUGUGUAGGGAGAGGACAUCGUUGCUGGCUUGAAUUAUGAUCCAUGGUUGGUGGUCUGUGGUGACAUGCUUCUCAUGGUUGAUCUCGUUGAUGGCUUGAUAAGCAAUGGCACCUUUCAAGUCUUCCGCUUUGAUUUUUCAGCCGAACGAGCUAAGUGGACCAAGAUGGAGAAGUUGGACAACUGGGCUCUCUUUGUCAGCCAUGAUAGGAUGAGCCCUACAUUUUCUUGCAUGAACCCUGAAAGAUGGGGUGGAAAGAGUAACUGCAUUUACCUUCCAAGUGCGUCCAAAGACUCUGAUGAACCUUGGAUUGCUGUAGAGCUUGGUCAGGCAGUUUACAGCACAACUCCUCCAAUUCAUACAUCCUAG